CAACAAAAGAACCAAAGAGAAGUGUGAUUCAGCAGCAGGCAUUCCAGGCAACACUAAUGAAAGAUGCCAAUAUAUCAGAAAACAGAAUAAAUAAAUGCUUCAAAUUUGUUUAUUCUCAAUAGUUCACUUUAUUACGGCAUUACCAAGGAUUGCACAAGUAGCAAGAGUUUUAGAAACAUGGUUUUGGGAAUGUUCCUCAUUAUAACUUUCAUCAAGUUCGAACUAAAUAUUUAAUAUCUUAAUCUUCAUCAUGUUUGAAUUAAAUGUUCACCACAUCAUGAUUCCUAGCUCGAAUCGAGUUUCCAAACAUUUCAAUUGUUUUUCUGUUUUCAUUUCAAACCCUCUCAAAAA